rnacentral:rRNA from 1 species
CCUACGUGUGGCAGCAGUGAGGAAUAUUGGUCAAUGGGCGCGAGCCUGAACCAGCCAAGUAGCGUGAAGGAUGACUGCCCUACGGGUUGUAAACUUCUUUUAUAAAGGAAUAAAGUGAGGCACGUGUGCCUUUUUGUAUUUCUUUUAUUAAUACAGAUCGGCUAACUCCGUGCCCGCCAACGCCGUAAUACGGAGGCUCCGAGCGUUCUACGGAUUUUUUGGGUUUAAAGGGUGCGUAGAUGGGUUGUUAAGUCAGUUGUGAAAGUUUGCGGCUCAACCGUAAAAUUGCAAUUGAUACUGGCAGCAUUGAGUACAGUUGAGGUAGGCGGAAUUCGUGGUGUAGCGGUGAAAUGCUUAGAUAUCACGAAGAACUCCGAUUGCGAAGGCAGCCUACUAAACUGCCACUGACAGUGAUGCUCGAAAGUGUGGGUAUCAAACAGGAUUAGAUACCCGAGUAGUC